UACGGAGGGUGCAAGCGUUAUCCGGAUUCACUGGGUUUAAAGGGUGCGUAGGAGGACAGGUAAGUCAGUGGUGAAAUCCUAGGGCUUAACCCUAGAACUGCCGUUGAUACUCUCUGUCUUGAAUACCGUGGAGGUGAGCGGAAUAUGUCAUGUAGCGGUGAAAUGCUUAGAUAUGACAUAGAACACCAAUUGCGAAGGCAGCUCACUACACGCGCAUUGACUCUGAGGCACGAAAGCGUGGGGAUCAAACAGG
rnacentral:rRNA from 1 species